UGUGAUACCCCCUGUCAUGUCUCUGUUACCUAGAAUUGCUUUUGCUAUUCUGGGUCUCUUCUUGUUCCAAAUGAAUUUUUGGAUUGUUUUCUCGAGGUCUAUGAAGUAUGGUGCUGGGAUCUCAAUUGGAACUGCAUUAAAUCUAUAUAGCAGUUUUGGAAGUAUGGCCAUUUUCACUAUAUUAAUCCUUCCUACCCAGGAGCAGGGGAUGUCUGUCCAUUUUCUGAUAUCAUCUUCAAUCUCUCUUUUCAGAGUGCCAUAGUUUUCAGAGAAGAGGUCUUUGAUUUCUUUCAUUAGGAUGAUUCCUAGGUAUUUCAGUUUUUUGGAUGCUAUUGUGAAAGGAAUUAUUUGCCCUAUUU
rnacentral:lncRNA from 1 species